GGUACCUUUAAAUACGGUCCAGAGAGGCCGGCAAGGUUUAUUAUCCCCAGAGAGGGGAAUCAGGCUAAGAAAACCCAACGGGGAUUAAGCCAAUUUUGCCGGCCUCAACUAGGUAUAUGUAUCUAGUUGAGGCUUUUGUAU
rfam:Desulfotomaculum reducens MI-1, complete genome.